AGUGAACGCUGGCGGCGUGCUUAACACAUGCAAGUCGAACGAGAACGGAUUAUAGCUUGCUAUAAUUGUCAGCUAAGUGGCGCACGGGUGAGUAAUAUAUAGAUAACGUGCCUUAGAGAAGGGGAUAAUUGAUGGAAACGUCUUGUAAGACCCUAUAUGCCUUUAGAACAAAAGUUCGCAAGGGAAAUAUUUAUAGCUCUAAGAUCGGUCUGUACAGUAUCAGUUAGUUGGUGAGGUAAUGGCUCACCAAGACAAUGUCGCUUAACUGGUUUGAGAGGAUGAUCAGUCACACUGGAACUGAGACACGGUCCAG
rnacentral:rRNA from 1 species